ensembl:lncRNA
GGUUGGUGCGUGUGCGUUGCGCGGGUUGUUCAAACGUGGAGUGACUGUAAGCCAUCCAUUCACGUGUCGACGCAGCGAGGAGGCGGUGGCUCAGAGGAAGUGGAGAGGCUGAGGAGCAUCAGGGACUGCAGAUAAAUUGGUGGUGCCCAUCCCUACCAGCCCUGAGAUUUAGGCAGCCAGCUGAGGUGCCACAAGAAGUACGCCACCCCCUACUGCCUUGCAAACGGAUGAAUUUUAACGUCUGAGAAGUACAUGGACUGUAUGUGAAGGCAGGGAACCUGCUCUGCUGCUGUCAUCAUCGACCUCUGAUAUCACUUGGAGCAAGACAACCAACGAUAGCAGUGAUCUGACUCUGGAGUGGUAAGAAAGGAUGAAGAGAUAAGAAGGUGGAGUUCUCAGUGAAAUGUGAGAGGUUUUGUUAGUGUAUCUGUUCAUCUAUCAAAGCCCAGACUGCAGCCUUUUGUAAAUUGACUCUGCUACUUUUCUUCUUUCAUGAACUGCUUUAAAAAAUAGAGACAAAAGGCUGCCAACUGUGUUAGUUCCUGGAAAAAUACUUCUGUUUAAUAUACAAUUCUUGAGAGAUGUUUAAAAGUGAGAUGCAGCCAUGUGUGAAUGCCUGCAUAUAUACCAAAGUGUCAUAUCACACUGAACACUUCCAACACUCUACAUGGUGACUGCUGCAGAGUGAUUGGUCCUUACUCCAUUUUUCCAAGUGGAGCCUGCUUCAGGAUUGAGCUUGACAUAUGGUCAGCACUUUAGAGACAGGGCCUUUCACUCAGCCAUGCUGAUUGCAUCACUGAGAUUGGUUUGGGUGCCCAAAUCAACUGUCUCUCCCAAGUCAAUUCAACUUGAGCACUGGAGAUGUGCAAGUCUACUGCAAUGUCUGCUACCUUUUCUUUAUAUUCUUUUCAUAAUUAAGUACCAUUUCCUAGGCUCUGGGAAGCUUUGGAAGAGGCACACAUUCUCUCAUGUUUCAUGUCACUUGUGCUGUUGUGAAGUCCUGUUCCAAUGGAUGAUUGCAUGAAAUCAGUUGUACUGUAGUUUCGUUGUCCUAUUUCAGGUCAUAUAAGGUGUGAUGACAGGACAUUCAGCUAUUAGUUUGUAUGGCAGACCCAGAGGCAGCUGUUGGCCAUAGCACAGUAAUUCUGGAGGUUCACUGAUUAAAAAUUCUUCCUGCCUGCAUAUUCAUAUGACCUGCAUUGACUUUCAAAACAUGACUCUGCUCUGUAAUAUCACUUCAUGGGAGUGUUUUCCUGAUAAUUUAUCUACUCUUCUUCCCACCUAUUAAGUCACUGUUGCUGUCAAGCCAUCUUCAGAGAGAUCAGGGUACUGAGUAGCUCUUUUCUGAAAGAGAUGGUGAUUCACACCUUUAAAAAAAAAAAAGACAUUUUUGUUGGAAUGUGAAGCUUUAACUUCAAGUCACUAUUUCUGUUUUGCCUUUCUCUGCCAAGAAUAUUCUUUCACACCUGAGAUUUUUCUGUUCUGACUCUUCAUUAACUGUCAUGGCAUCACCACUUAGUCUUUCAGCUUAAUGUAAUAAGUGUCUUUGGUUGCUCUGAAAAUAAUCCUUUAAAUGAGUGCUGUGACCUCUCUGGUUGCUUUUGGGCAUGAGUGAUGCCCAUGGUGAAGCACCAUGCACCUGUGACACAAAGCUGAAAACCUACAAUAAAGGCAAGAGUGAACACAAACAAAAGGCCAAACAAAGCAUUUUACAUUCUAAUAGGUUUCUAAUGAUGCAUGGAGUAUAGGAGAAAGCUAGAGGGAAACAGAAAUGAGCAUUCUUGGUGCGAACACUAUUUCUGUAGUAUCUGGUUAGACUGGUCCUAGGACACCAGUAUGAGUCUUGCUGUGCUGUAUGUGAGACCAGUGCCAUCAGUUGACACUGAUACAGAUGAAAUUUGAAUAUUUUGAAAAUGAGGGAUGGGAGCAGUCCCUGAACCAAUACAUAUG